AUGGCUACGAUAGACGGACGGCCUGCUCAAUAUGGGAUCUCCCUCAAGCAAAUGCGUGACCUCAUGGAACACCGAGGUCGUGAGGGAGUCAACAAAAUCAAAGACUUGGGUGGAAUACAAGAACUUUGUAAAAAGCUCUACACGUCACCCAAUGAAGGUCUCAGCGGGUCCCAGGCAGAUUUAGAUCAUCGGAGAGAAGUUUUUGGCUCAAAUUCAAUUCCGCCUAAACCCCCAAAGACUUUUCUACAAUUAGUAUGGGAGGCUCUACAGGAUAUCACUCUCAUUAUUCUUGAAGUAGCUGCCAUAGUGUCCUUAGCCCUUUCAUUUUAUCAUCCAGCCGCCGAAGAAGAUGAAUCUAUUCCUUUUGACGACGAUGAAACAAGUCACGGGUGGAUUGAAGGGUUGGCAAUUUUAAUAUCGGUUAUCGUGGUAGUUCUCGUGACAGCAUUCAAUGAUUACACCAAAGAGCGACAGUUUCGUGGUUUACAAAGUCGAAUUGAGGGCGAGCACAAAUUCGCCGUCAUUCGACACGCCGAAGUAAUUCAGAUUCCUGUGAGCGAAAUAGUUGUUGGUGAUAUUUGCCAGAUAAAGUACGGAGAUCUGCUCCCUGCGGAUGGCAUUUUAAUACAAUCAAAUGACUUAAAGGUUGAUGAGUCAUCACUGACUGGAGAGUCAGAUCAUGUAAAGAAAGGCGAAUCUUUCGAUCCGAUGGUGCUUUCCGGUACGCAUGUGAUGGAAGGUUCGGGAAAAAUGCUAGUCACCGCAGUGGGAGUCAAUUCUCAAGCUGGUAUUAUUUUCACCCUAUUGGGUGCAGCAGUGGACCAACAGGAAGCGGAAAUAAAGAAAAUGAAAAAAGAAGCUAAAAAGCAACGGAAGAAGAAAAGCUCGACAGGUGAUGAUGAAGGAGCUGUAACUGGAAACAGUCAUGUCAACUCCCCUGCGCCCCCCGUUUCGAAUAAAAUCGAUGCAGUUCCCGAAACAGGAGAAAAUCACGUACAGUCGUCAUCCCCAGCAGCGGAAAGUCAUAAAAAGGAGAAGUCGGUACUUCAAGCGAAACUUACGAAGCUUGCCAUACAAAUCGGUUAUGCAGGCUCCACAAUAGCUGUUCUUACUGUUCUUAUUUUGAUUACUCAGUUCUGCGUGAAAACGUUUUUUAUCGAUGGCAAGGGUUGGAAGAACACCUAUGCUAAUUAUCUGGUCAAGCACCUUAUCAUCGGUGUAACUGUUUUGGUGGUCGCUGUUCCUGAAGGAUUACCUCUUGCUGUUACUCUCUCUUUAGCUUAUAGCGUUAAGAAAAUGAUGAAAGACAACAAUUUAGUGAGACAUUUGGAUGCUUGUGAAACGAUGGGUAAUGCUACAGCUAUCUGCUCAGAUAAGACGGGCACGCUAACAACAAACAGGAUGACAGUCGUUCAAUCGUAUAUUUGCGAACAACUUUGCAAAACUAUGCCUAAAUUCUCCGAUAUACCAGCACAUGUUGGAAAUCUCAUAAUAGAAGGAAUCUCUGUAAAUUCAGCUUUCACUUCGCGUAUUAUGCCUUCAGAAGAUCCCACAGAACUACCAAAACAAGUUGGCAAUAAGACUGAAUGUUCAUUGUUAGGUUUUGUAUUAGGUCUAGGAAAAAGUUAUCAGACAGUACGUGACGACCAUCCUGAAGAAUCGUUUGUACGAGUUUAUACGUUUAACUCCGUGAGAAAGUCGAUGAGUACUGUAAUACCUAGACCGGGUGGCGGUUACAGGUUAUAUACGAAAGGUGCUUCUGAAAUGAUACUAAACAAGUGUGCCUUUAUUUACGGUCACGAUGGCCGUUUGGAAAAAUUCACCAGAGAUAUGCAAGAACGUCUAUUGCGACAAGUAAUUGAGCCGAUGGCUUGUGACGGUUUACGUACAAUAGCUAUUGCAUAUCGCGACUUUGUUCCUGGUAAGGCGGAGAUAAACCAAGUUCAUUCGGAAACAGAGCCUAACUGGGACGAUGAAGCAAACAUUGUUAACAACUUGACCUGCCUUUGCGUUGUUGGUAUAGAAGAUCCGGUAAGACCUGAAGUGCCAGACGCUAUCAGAAAAUGUCAAAGGGCUGGUAUCACGGUUAGAAUGGUCACUGGAGAUAAUAUUAAUACAGCACGUUCGAUUGCCACAAAAUGUGGUAUUCUAAAACCGAACGAAGACUUCCUUAUUCUUGAAGGCAAAGAGUUUAACAGAAGGAUUAGGGACGCUAAUGGAGAAGUUCAGCAACAUCUGAUAGACAAAGUGUGGCCUAAACUGCGCGUACUUGCGCGCUCUUCUCCUACUGACAAGUACACAUUGGUGAAAGGUAUCAUUGACAGUAAGAUUAGUGAACAGAGGGAAGUAGUUGCGGUCACUGGAGAUGGUACAAACGACGGCCCAGCUUUGAAAAAGGCCGACGUCGGAUUCGCUAUGGGUAUUGCCGGAACUGAUGUUGCUAAAGAAGCGUCUGAUAUUAUUUUGACCGACGACAACUUCAGUAGCAUUGUUAAAGCUGUCCUGUGGGGCAGAAACGUGUACGAUAGCAUUGCUAAAUUUUUGCAGUUCCAACUUACCGUAAAUGUUGUUGCUGUUAUUGUAGCUUUUAUUGGUGCCUGUGCUGUUCAAGACAGUCCUCUGAAGGCUGUCCAAAUGUUAUGGGUCAAUUUGAUUAUGGACACCUUGGCCUCAUUAGCAUUGGCUACAGAACUUCCAACACCAGAUCUAUUAUUAAGAAAACCAUAUGGAAGAACGAAGCCGUUGAUAUCUAGGACCAUGAUGAAAAAUAUAUUAGGACAAGCUGUUUACCAGCUAACUGUUAUAUUUUCUUUGUUAUUUGUUGGUGACAAGAUGUUGGAUAUUGAGUCAGGUCGCGGAGCCCCUAUUGGUGCUGGUCCAACGCAGCACUUCACUGUUAUUUUCAAUUCAUUUGUUAUGAUGACACUUUUUAACGAGUUCAACGCUCGGAAAAUUCACGGACAAAGGAACGUUUUUGAAGGAGUUUUUACGAACCCGAUCUUCUACAGUAUAUGGUUGGGAACUUGUGCUGCACAGGUAGUAAUUGUGCAAUAUGGAAAAAUGGCAUUCUCAACAAGAAGUUUGACCCUGGAACAAUGGCUCUGGUGUCUGUUCUUUGGUUUUGGAACACUACUUUGGGGCCAGGUUGUGACAACUAUACCAACUAGGAAAAUACCUAAGAUACUAUCAUGGGGCCGUGGUCAUCCAGAAGAGUAUACCGAAGCCAUUAACAUCGGCGAAGAGAAGUUCGAUUUGGAUUCAGAUAAGAAACCAAGGGCGGGACAAAUUCUUUGGAUUAGGGGUUUGACUAGAUUACAGACACAAGUGAUAGGUGGUGAAUUGCAAGAGCGUUUGAUUCCAGUCCCAUACAGCAAGAGCUCCACUGACCAAGCUGUGGGGCAAAAUCACGUAAGCAAAGUAACCGAUAUCUGGUAAAGACUGUAUGUAUUUGAACAAUGUUACUCGUGUGUGUUCAGUGGUGUUCAAUAUUCUAAAUUCAUGUUUUGUUUGGAUUGAUUACUAUUAUUUGUAAACUGCAAGUUCAAUGUUAAUCGGAUUGAUCCAUAUUUGGUAAAACUUAUAAUGCUUGUAGAGGUACCGUUGGGCUGAAUUGGGUUGAUAACAAGCCCAAUCACCCGACAAAAUACGCAACCACUUGCUGGUCUAUUCACAUUUAAUGUGGUCUCAACUAAAUUCAGUUGUGCUUCUGUUGUACUUUGCUGAAAUCGAGAAUGUACUUAAGCUUGGCAAUGUUGGAAAUGAAAUGUUAUACACGGCAUGUCUUAAUGGCUCCACACAAAUACAUUUCACUCAGGCAGUAUUGCAGAUCCCGACUGCCUUCGUGCACAUGUAUGUAUGUAUGUCUGUAUGCACCAUGAAUCCCAUACGGACAUGGUUGUUUUACGUACCAAUAUUACUUACUAUUUAUUAUUUCCUUUAUUGCAUGGUUGUUAACUAUUUGAUGUGAUCUCGACAUACCGGUUCUCAAACUCUAUAAAAUCCGUUUUUCCCAUGCUGUUCCUGAUCAUGCAUUCUUACUCAUUUCCCAUCUAAAUUCCAAAAUCUUCGUCCGUUUACAGUGCCAUCGUGCUCUCAAAUAUUUUUCCACCUUUUUGAUCCGAGUAGUAAAUGCU
rnacentral:misc_RNA from 1 species